AGAACGAACGCUGGCGGCAUGCCUAACACAUGCAAGUCGAACGAGACCUUCGGGUCUAGUGGCGCACGGGUGCGUAACGCGUGGGAAUCUGCCCCUUGGUUCGGAAUAACUCAGAGAAAUUUGAGCUAAGUACCGGAUGAUGACGUAAGUCCAAAGAUUUAUCGCCAAGGGAUGAGCCCGCGUAGGAUUAGCUAGUUGUGAGGUAAAGGCUCACCAAGGCGACGAUCCUUAGCUGGUCUGAGAGGAUGAUCAGCCACACUGGGACUGAGACACGGCCCAGACUCCUACGGGAGCAGCAGUGGGAAUAUGCACAUGGCAAGCCUGACUGCAGCGAUGCCGCGUGCGGAAGAGGUCCCGUAGGGUUAGAAACCGUCUUUACG
rnacentral:rRNA from 1 species